CUGUUCACUGACAUGUUACGUGUUCGUUGAAUCAAUUAUAACGGAUACUAUCAUAUGACUGUAAUACGAAUAUCUAGAGGUAGUGUGUUUAAAUAAAAGAUUAAGUAAACAUUGUGUGGUUUAAGUCAUUGAAUAACGGCUUCUUUCACUUACAACAAGCAUAUAUCUUUCAAUGUUUUGAUUUUGACUGAAAUAAAAACAAUAUGGACAUAGCGUUUGAAAACAAUUUAUCAAAAUGAUUAGAAUAUGUUAGAAUGAUCUUAUAUCUAUAGUUUUAACUUCUGGAUUGUAAACAGACGUAACAUGGAGAAAAUAAAUUAAAAGUGAUAUUAAAUUCAUAUGGUUGUUUUGUUUUUUCACGGAAAUAUAAAAGCGUUGUAAAGACACCAUUUUCAAGAAGAUGGCUUGCAGACUUUAUUAUUCUGUGUAUUUACCUUUCUAUGCAAAUGUUCUAACAUUGACACACGACAACUUUCGCCAGUGUGAAUACUGGUUUAACUGCGCAUCUUACCAAGGUUUAAAAUCAAAAAGUGUGAAAUAUGAUCAAACAUACUUUCUCGGAAAAAACAUAAGCUUGACGUUCGCAAAGAAACUGACCUACACAAGCCAUCAACAUUUGUGGACCUUGUGUUCAAAUAACGUAUCUCUGUUGUAGGUGUCUAACAACGAGUUCUCAAUGGAAAAAACAGAUGUAAAACAUUCUACUUACGAAACGCAAGUUACUACUGGCAAACUGCAUUCGGAAAAUCAUGAUCAGAAACACAAUAUCAAGAGAAGAAAACUUGAGCGUCCAGUUAAGAAUAAAAAUGCUAUUGCAAGGACAAAGUGUAAACUGUGCGGGGCAUUGUUUUUAGCUUCUCAAAUGUGUUGCCAGUCAAAGCAAACAAAGCGAGAUAGUGAUGAAUGGGAGAGUGAAACAGUAUCGAGAAGGAGUCAAAAUUCUUUUCCAAUGCGUUAUGCCGACUUACGUCAAUCGUUCAGAAAUGCGGAGAAUGUACACAUAACAUAUGAAAAUACACCCGAAGGAAAAUUUGCUUUUUUCCCUCAAUAUACUGACGAAAGUGAUGAAAAAGAAAGUGAUAAAGUGUCACGACGUAGUCAGAGGUUUUGUCAAAAGGGUAGUGUCGAAUUACACCAGCUGUUGAAGAAUGCGGAAAAUGAUUAUAGAAUAUCUGAAGAUACAACCGAAGAAAUGUUCGCUAGCAAAUCCGCUCAAUAUACAGACAAUAAAGGACAAGAUUUAAAAUUCCAACCUUAUUAUACGUCAAAGCAAAGGAACCAAGGCAGUUUUGGGAAUGAGAGCGAUAAUGUGUCUCGAAGAAGUCAAAACGUUUGCCCGAAAGGUAAUGCCGACUUAUGCCAACUGCUGAGCAAUGCGGGAAACAAUUAUAGAACAUUUGAAGAUACUGCCGUAGAUACUCUUACCUUCCAAUUCCCUCAGUAUAACGACGAUAAACGAAAAGAUUUAAAAUUUCGAUUUUAUUAUGAUAAACCAUUUUUUCCAACGUAAUGAUUAUUAAAUCAUAACAAAAACCUUUUCAAAACUUAGUGAUAAGAAAUGAUUAAAAUAUUCUAGUUAUCCGUAAAACUUUCA